CCCCACCCAAGGCUCCUGACCAGCAGGAGGUGAAACCACUAUCAUCACGUCAGUGGCUCCAGCAUUGCGUAAGCCAGGGGCGAGGUUACUCAAGAUUAAACACUGAUGCCUUCCAGACUGAACCUGUGUCCUCAUCAUCCAAAGUCCCCAAGCUUUGAAACAUCAUCCACCCUUCAGAGUUAAUGAAAGUCAAUUUAGGG